rnacentral:rRNA from 1 species
UGAAUACGAGACGCUAAGGCGUCGAAGUAGUGUAUAUCAGACUUCCAAGAAAAGCUUGCACUGUCAUAGAUAAAAAAUGCCUGUACCAUAACCGACACAGGUGGGUAGGUAGAGUAUACUAAGGGGCGCGAGAUAACUCUCUCUAAGGAACUCGGCAAAAUAACUCCGUAACUUCGGGAGAAGGAGUGCCUUAUUUAUAAGGUUGCAAUAACAAGAUCCAAGCAACUGUUUAUCAAAAACACAGGUCUCCGCUAAGUCGUAAGACGAUGUAUGGGGGCUGACGCCUGCCCAGUGCCAGAAGGUUAAGAAGUUGGUUAGCAAUUGCGAAGCUGAUAACUGAAGCCCUGGUGAACGGCGGCCGUAACUAUAACGGUCCUAAGGUAGCGAAAUUCCUUGUCGGGUAAGUUCCGACCCGCACGAAAGGCGUAAUGAUUUGGAUACUGUCUCGGAGAGGGGCUCGGUGAAAUAGACUUGUCUGUGAAGAUGCGGACUACCUGCACCAGGACAGAAAGACCCUAUGAAGCUUUACUGUAACUUGAAAUUGAAAUUGGACUUUAUUCGCGCAGCAUAGGUGGGAGGCGUUGAUUAUAAUCUUGCGGGAUUAUUGGAGCCAUCAGUGAGAUACCACUCUUGUAAUGUUAGAUUUCUAACUUUGAAUCAUUAUCUGGUCAAAGAACAGUUUCAGGCGGGCAGUUUGACUGGGGCGGUCGCCUCCUAAAUGGUAACGGAGGCGUACAAAGGUUUCCUCUGAACGGUUAGAAAUCGUAUCUAGAGUGUAAAGGCAUAAGGAAGCUUGACUGUGAGCCUACAAGUCGAGCAGGGACGAAAGUCGGUCUUAGUGAUCUGACGGUACUGAGUGGAAAGGCCGUCACUCAACGGAUAAAAGUUACUCUAAGGAUAACAGGCUGAUCUCCCCCAAGAGUUCACAUCGACGGGGAGGUUUGGCACCUCGAUGUCGGCUCAUCGCAUCCUGGGGCGGUAGUACGUCCCAAGGGUUGGGCUGUUCGCCCAUGAAAGCGGUACGCGAGCUGGGUUCAGAACGUCGUGAGACAGUUCGGUCCAUAUCCGGUGUAGGCGUUAGAAUAUUGAGAGGAGCCUUCUUUAGUACGAGAGGACCGAGAAGGACAUACCUCUGGUGUACCAGUUAUCGUGCCAACGGUAAACGCUGGGUAGCUAUGUAUGGAGUGGAUAACCGCUGAAAGCAUCUAAGUGGGAAGCCCACCUCAAGAUAAGUAUUCUC